AUUGAACGCUGGCGGCAGGCCUAACACAUGCAAGUCGAGCGGAUGAGAAGAGCUUGCUCUUCGAUUCAGCGGCGGACGGGUGAGUAAUGCCUAGGAAUCUGCCUGGUAGUGGGGGACAACGUUUCGAAAGGAACGCUAAUACCGCAUACGUCCUACGGGAGAAAGCAGGGGACCUUCGGGCCUUGCGCUAUCAGAUGAGCCUAGGUCGGAUUAGCUAGUUGGUGAGGUAAUGGCCCACCAAGGCGACGAUCCGUAACUGGUCUGAGAGGAUGAUCAGUCACGCUGGAACUGAUACACGGUCCAGACUCCUACGGGAGGCAGCAGUGGGGAAUAUUGGACAAUGGGCGAAAGCCUGAUCCAGCCAUGCCGCGUGUGGGAAGAAGGUCUUCGGAUUGUAAAGCACUUUAAGUUGGGACGAAGGGCAGUAAGUUAAUACCUUGCUGUUUUGACGUUACCGACAGAAUAAGCACCGGCUAACUCUGUGCCAGCCGCCGCGGUAAGAC
rnacentral:rRNA from 1 species